UAAUACUUUAAUAGUUUGAGAUAUGAUAUUCUUCUGGAUUAGAUUGUGUUUAGAUUAUGAAGUGGUAUUCUUCUUAGACUUGGUAGUUAGUUUGUGUCUAAUUUUGGGAGGGGUUAUUUUUAAGCUCUAAAAAAAUUGGAUUUUGGAUUAGACUUGGUGUUAAUGGUUGCAGCAGGCUUGGUGUUCUCCUUAGACUUGGGCUUGAGAUUAGGGUUGGGGUUGGACUUUGAAUUAAGCUUGGAUUGAUCUUAGGCUUGGGAGUCAACAUUAAAUUUGGAUUGGGGUUAACUUUGGGGUUGGGAUUGGAAUUAGGGUUAAGAUUUGGAAUUAGUUUCAGGCUGCAUUUUUAAAGGGACAGAACUCGCCCAGAGGAGGUUGCUGGAGCCGUUGGUCUGAGCUGCCUUGCCUCUUCCCUGCUCCGGUGCCGCUGCUACUACUGGAAAGUGAUCGGAAAUGUUGCUGCUGUUGCCACAGAUUAAGAAAAAGGGGUUCGUCGCAAUUAAUUCCUGCUAACUCGACACUCUAAGUUUGAGAUAGACAAGGAGAGGAGAGUAGCAGCUCAUAGGAGAGCAGUGUUGAGAAAAGAAAGCCAAGUUGCUGAACAUUCUAGAAGGUUUCGUGCCAUUGAGACUCGGAUCAAUCAAGAGACCUCAAAGAUGAGAAAAACUAUUGCAGAGGUGUCCAAUUUGCACAGGGUCAAGUGUACAAAAUUGAUGCCAACGUGCUAGACUUUAUAUUGACUGAAAUAUGAUAAAAGAUUCAAUAA